rnacentral:rRNA from 1 species
UACAGAGGGUGCAAGCGUUGCUCGGAAUUAUUGGGCGUAAAGGGCAGGUAGGCGGUCCAAUUUGUCAGAGGUGAAAUCCCUGGGCUUAACCCAGGAAGUGCCUUUGAAACGGUUGGACUUGAGUAUUGGAGAGGGUCGUGGAAUUCCCGGUGUAGCGGUGAAAUGCGUAGAGAUCGGGAGGAACACCAGAGGCGAAGGCGGCGACCUGGACAAUGACUGACGCUCAACUGCGAAAGCGUGGGGAUCAAACAGG